AGGAGAUUGGUGCUUGCAGUAGCUGCCUGUGCAUCUGGAAAGGGGAAUAUCGCCUAAACGGGUUUUAACCUCUUGUGUGCAAAACGGUCCGUUACAAUUGAAUAUAGGGUAUUUUGGUCUGGAGAUAUUUAGAUUUUAGUUUUUUGGCUAGUAGUUUCCCUGCUUUAUUACCCAUUGCAUAGUGUAUCUGCUUAAGAGAUCUCAUAUCGUUCUGUGGUUAUAAGAGACAACGAGUUGAGUUCAUUAUUAAUGGCGGCUAUUUGUUUGGAGAUAUUUUUCGAUGGUCGUCGUUUAUUUUGGUCAUCUAAUUUGGCUGAGUCUUGGAGGAGUCGUGUCUGGGCCUCUGCGUUGCGUCUUUUUGUUAUUGAUCCUAGUUGUAUCAAAACUUAAUGCCCCCAUUCAGAG